rnacentral:lncRNA from 1 species
CCUCAUUUAUAAGAAUGUGAAUGGAGUGGAGAUAGCUACAUUUACUAAGUUUAGAUCAAACAAAGAUAAGUUCAAUAUAUGGCAUAAUUGCCUUGGCCAUUUGAAUGUGAAGAGUAUAAAAGAGCUUAAGACCAUGGUAAGUGGCUUAGAUCUUAGAAAUACAAGCCAAAAUACAAAAGAACUUGCAUAUGAAGGAUGCAUACAAGGCAAACACAAAGAGCCUCAUUUCCAAGGAGUGUAGCAACACAUGCUACCAAGUUGCUAGAGAUUGUCCAGUCAGAUGUAUGUGGAUGUAUAAAAAAAUAUAAAUAUUAGAAGAUCAAGAUAUUUCUU